rnacentral:lncRNA from 1 species
AGCUGCCUUUUUCAUUCUGCGUGCUUGAACCAGCUUUUUUAUUUUGGGGAGUAUGGGGGGGGGGGGAUGUGGAGGCAGGUGGCAGAAGAGCUGAGUAGAUGCUUCAUGGCGGGGUGGGGUGGGGGUGGGGGGUUGUCAGACUGUCCGAGCUCCUCACUGACAUGGGCGGUGACAAUUCCCCUUUUCAAAACCCUCACUAAGCCCUUGUUUGUGGACAACGUUUGCUUUUGGACCUGUGCUGGACCCCACCCCAAGUAGACAGCCAGCCUGGCUCCC